GCCAGGAUGUUGGCUUAGAAGCAGCCAUCAUUUAAAGAAAGCGUAAUAGCUCACUGGUCGAGUCGGCCUGCGCGGAAGAUGUAACGGGGCUAAACCAUGCACCGAAGCUGCGGCAGCGACGCUUAUGCGUUGUUGGGUAGGGGAGCGUUCUGUAAGCCGUUGAAGGUGUGCUGUGAGGCAUGCUGGAGGUAUCAGAAGUGCGAAUGCUGACAUAAGUAACGAUAAAGCGGGUGAAAAGCCCGCUCGCCGGAAGAC
rnacentral:rRNA from 1 species